rnacentral:tRNA from 1 species
GCGGAAAUAGCUCAGUUGGUAGAGCAUAACCUUGCCAAGGAUAGGGUCGCGAGUUCGAGUCUCGUUUUCCGCU